CCUAUACAUGCAAGUCGAGCGAACAGAUAAGGAGCUUGCUCCUUUGACGUUAGCGGCGGACGGGUGAGUAACACGUGGAUAACCUACCUAUAAGACUGGGAUAACUUCGGGAAACCGGAGCUAAUACCGGAUAACAUAUUGAACCGCAUGGUUCAAUAGUGAAAGGCGGCUUUGCUGUCACUUAUAGAUGGAUCCGCGCCGUAUUAGCUAGUUGGUAAGGUAACGGCUUACCAAGGCAACGAUACGUAGCCGACCUGAGAGGGUGAUCGGCCACACUGGAACUGAGACACGGUCCAGACUCCUACGGGAGGCAGCAGUAGGGAAUCUUCCGCAAUGGGCGAAAGCCUGACGGAGCAACGCCGCGUGAGUGAUGAAGGUCUUCGGAUCGUAAAACUCUGUUAUCAGGGAAGAACAAAUGUGUAAGUAACUGUGCACAUCUUGACGGUACCUGAUCAGAAAGCCACGGCUAACUACGUGCCAGCAGCCGCGGUAAUACGUAGGUGGCAAGCGUUAUCCGGAAUUAUUGGGCGUAAAGCGCGCGUAGGCGGUUUUUUAAGUCUGAUGUGAAAGCCCACGGCUCAACCGUGGAGGGUCAUUGGAAACUGGAAAACUUGAGUGCAGAAGAGGAAAGUGGAAUUCCAUGUGUAGCGGUGAAAUGCGCAGAGAUAUGGAGGAACACCAGUGGCGAAGGCGACUUUCUGGUCUGUAACUGACGCUGAUGUGCGAAAGCGUGGGGAUCAAACAGGAUUAGAUACCCUGGUAGUCCACGCCGUAAACGAUGAGUGCUAAGUGUUAGGGGGUUUCCGCCCCUUAGUGCUG
rnacentral:rRNA from 1 species